rnacentral:ncRNA from 1 species
GGGCGCACGGUGGAUGCCUUGGCACCAGGAACCGAUGAAGGACGUGGGAGGCCGCGAUAGUCCCCGGGGAGUCGUCAACCAGGCUUUGAUCCGGGGGUUUCCGAAUGGGGAAACCCGGCAGUCGUCAUGGGCUGUCACCCGCUGCUGAACACAUAGGCAGUGUGGAGGGAACGAGGGGAAGUGAAACAUCUCAGUACCCUCAGGAAGAGAAAACAACCGUGAUUCCGGGAGUAGUGGCGAGCGAAACCGGAUGAGGCCAAACCUACGACGUGUGAGACCCGGCAGGGGUUGCGUCGUGGGGGUUGUGGGAUCUCUCUUUCACAGUCUGCCGGCUGUGGGACGAGUCAGAAACCGUUGAUGUAGACGAAGGACAUGCGAAAGGUCCGGCGUAGAGGGUAAGACCCCCGUAGUCGAAACGUCAGCGGCUCGUUUGAGAGACACCCAAGUAGCACGGGGCCCGAGAAAUCCCGUGUGAAUCUGGCGGGACCACCCGCUAAGCCUAAAUAUUCCCUGGUGACCGAUAGCGGAUAGUACCGUGAGGGAAUGGUGAAAAGUACCCCGGGAGGGGAGUGAAAUAGUACCUGAAACCGUGUGCCUACAAGCCGUGGGAGCGUCGGAACAAGGCUUGCCUUGUUCUCGUGACUGCGUGCCUUUUGAAGAAUGAGCCUGCGAGUUUGCGGUGUGUUGCGAGGUUAACCCGUUGUGGGGUAGCCGUAGCGAAAGCGAGUCCGAAUAGGGCGGUUGAGUAGCACGCUCAAGACCCGAAGCGGAGUGAUCUACCCAUGGGCAGGUUGAAGCGGAGGUAAGACUUCGUGGAGGACCGAACCCACCAGGGUUGAAAACCUGGGGGAUGACCUGUGGUUAGGGGUGAAAGGCCUAUCAAACUCCGUGAUAGCUGGUUCUCCCCGAAAUGCAUUUAGGUGCAGCGUCGUGUGUUUCUUGCCGGAGGUAGAGCACUGGAUAGGCGAUGGGCCCUACCGGGUUACUGACCUUAGCCAAACUCCGAAUGCCGGUAAGUGAGAGCGCGGCAGUGAGACUGUGGGGGAUAAGCUCCAUGGUCGAGAGGGAAACAGCCCAGAGCAUCGACUAAGGCCCCUAAGCGUACGCUAAGUGGGAAAGGAUGUGGAGUCGCAGAGACAACCAGGAGGUUGGCUUAGAAGCAGCCACCCUUGAAAGAGUGCGUAAUAGCUCACUGGUCUAGUGAUUCCGCGCCGACAAUGUAGCGGGGCUCAAGCGUACCGCCGAAGUCGUGUCAUUGCAGCAUAACGCCCAACGGCGGCUGUGAUGGGUAGGGGAGCGUCGUCUGCCGGGUGAAGCAGCACCGGAAGGUAGUUGUGGACGGUUGACGAGUGAGAAUGCAGGCAUGAGUAGCGAUUCACACGUGAGAAACGUGUG